rnacentral:rRNA from 1 species
AACGAACGCUGGCGGCAGGCCUAACACAUGCAAGUCGAACGCCCGUAGCAAUACGGGAGUGGCAGACGGGUGAGUAACGCGUGGGAACGUGCCCUUCGGUUCGGAAUAACUCAGGGAAACUUGAGCUAAUACCGGAUACGUCCGUAAGGAGAAAGAUUUAUCGCCGAAGGAUCGGCCCGCGUCGGAUUAGCUAGUUGGUGAGGUAACGGCCCACCAAGGCGACGAUCCGUAGCUGGUCUGAGAGGANGAUCAGCCACACUGGGACUGAGACACGGCCCAGACUCCUACGGGAGGCAGCAGUGGGGAAUCUUGCGCAAUGGGCGAAAGCCUGACGCAGCGACGCCGCGUGAGGGAUGACAGCCUUCGGGUUGUAAACCUCUUUCAGCUCCGACGAAGCGAGAGUGACGGUAGGAGC